rnacentral:rRNA from 1 species
GUAGGUGGCAAGCGUUGUCCGGAAUUAUUGGGCGUAAAGCGCGCGCAGGCGGUUCUUUAAGUCUGAUGUGAAAGCCCGCGGCUCAACCGUGGAGGGUCAUUGGAAACUGGAGAACUUGAGUACAGAAGAGGAAAGCGGAGUUCCACGUGUAGCGGUGAAAUGCGUAGAGAUGUGGAGGAACACCAGUGGCGAAGGCGGCUUUCUGGUCUGUAACUGACGCUGAGGCGCGAAAGCGUGGGGAGCAAACAGGAUUAGAUACCCUGGUAGUCCACGCCGUAAACGAUGAGUGCUAAGUGUUAGGGGGUUUCCGCCCCCCUUAGUGCUGCAGCUAACGCAUUAAGCACUCCGCCUGGGAGUACGGCCGCAAGGCUG